rnacentral:rRNA from 1 species
CCUACGGGUGGCAGCAGUGGGGGAUAUUGCACAAUGGGGGGAACCCUGAUGCAGCGACGCCGCGUGGGUGAAGGAGUGCUUCGGCAUGUAAAGCCCUAUCGGCAGGGAAGAAGCAAGACGGUACCUGACUAAGAAGCCCCGGCUAACUACGUGCCAGCAGCCGCGGUAAUACGUAGGGGGCGAGCGUUGUCCGGAUUUACUGGGUGUAAAGGGCGUGUAGCCGGGAAGGCAAGUCAGAUGUGAAAUCCGGAGGCUCAACCUCCGAAUUGCAUUUGAAACUGUUUUUCUUGAGUACUGGAGAGGCAGACGGAAUUCCUUGUGUAGCGGUGAAAUGCGUAGAUAUAAGGAGGAACACCAGUGGCGAAGGCGGUCUGCUGGACAGCAACUGACGGUGAGGCUCGAAAGCGUGGGGAGCAAACAGGAUUAGAUACCCUGGUAGUC